rnacentral:rRNA from 1 species
GACGAACGCUGGCGGCGUGCUUAACACAUGCAAGUCGAACGCUGAAGCUCAGCUUUUGUUGGGUGGAUGAGUGGCGAACGGGUGAGUAACACGUGAGUAACCUGCCCCCUUCUUUGGGAUAACGCCCGGAAACGGGUGCUAAUACUGGAUAUUCACUGGUCUUCGCAUGGGGGUUGGUGGAAAGGGUUUUUCUGGUGGGGGAUGGGCUCGCGGCCUAUCAGCUUGUUGGUGGGGUGAUGGCCUACCAAGGCUUUGACGGGUAGCCGGCCUGAGAGGGUGACCGGUCACAUUGGGACUGAGAUACGGCCCAGACUCCUACUGGAGGCAGCAGUGGGGAAUAUUGCACAAUGGGCGCAAGCCUGAUGCAGCGACGCCGCGUGAGGGAUGGAGGCCUUCGGGUUGUGAACCUCUUUCGCUCAUGGUCAAGCCGCAACAAUGGUUGUGGUGAGGGUAGUGGGUAAAGAAGCGCCGGCUAACUACGUG